rnacentral:rRNA from 1 species
GAUGAACGCUAGCUACAGGCUUAACACAUGCAAGUCGAGGGACCGGCGCACGGGUGAGUAACACGUAUCCAACCUGCCCUUUACUCGGGGAUAGCCUUUCGAAAGAAAGAUUAAUACCCGAUAUAAAGGAUGGGGAUGCGUUCCAUUAGGUUGUUGGUGGGGUAACGGCCCACCAAGCCUUCGAUGGAUAGGGGUUCUGAGCAGAAGGUCCCCCACGAUGGAACGGAGACACGAUCCAAACUCCUACGAGCGGCAGCAGUGAGGAAUAUUGUUCAAUGUGCGUUAGCCUGAACCAGCCAAGUAGCGUGAAGGAUGAAGGCUUAUGGGUCGUAAACUUCUUUUAUAUAAGAAUAUGUAUUAUAUGAAUAAGGAUCGGCUAACUCCGUGCCAGCCGCCGCGGUAAUAC